rnacentral:miRNA from 1 species
GUCCUGGCCUCCCAGCCCAAUGCCCCCAGGACUUCAGUCACCUGAGGGCCAGAAGGAGCCCUGGACUUGGAGCCAGAAGGCUU